AUUGAACGCUGGCGGCAGGCUUAACACAUGCAAGUCGAGCGGGGGAAGGUAGCUUGCUACCGGACCUAGCGGCGGACGGGUGAGUAAUGCUUAGGAAUCUGCCUAUUAGUGGGGGACAACAUCUCGAAAGGGAUGCUAAUACCGCAUACGUCCUACGGGAGAAAGCAGGGGAUCUUCGGACCUUGCGCUAAUAGAUGAGCCUAAGUCGGAUUAGCUAGUUGGUGGGGUAAAGGCCUGCCAAGGCGACGAGCUGAAGCGGGUCUGAGAGGAUGAUCCGCAAGACUGGGGCUGAGACACGGCCCAGAAUCCUACGGGAGGCAGCAGUGGGGGAUAUUGGACAAUGGGGGGAACCCUGAUCCAGCCAAGCCGCGUGUGUGAAGAAGGCCUUAUGGUUGUAAAGCACUUUAAGCGAGGAGGAGGCUACUCUAGUUAAUACCUAGGGAUAGUGGACGUUACUCGCAGAAUAAGCACCGGCUAACUCUGUGCCAGCAGCCGCGGUAA
rnacentral:rRNA from 1 species